ensembl:lncRNA
CUCAGCAUAAUUAUUUACUGAGGUAAAUUGAUUCAAGGUGUGAGAGCUCACAGGGAUCUCUGCAGGGGUAAUAGAUGUAUUAAGGACAGCUGAAAACAGUGGGUAGUGAGGUGUUCUGGGGCUGGAGAGAAGGGAUAUGUGGUGAGGAGGUAUGUGACAGUGGAGGCUGGAAAAGGAAGAUUUUGAGGAGCAGGUGCUGGUCUGAACUACUGAGCACAAAUUUGGAGCUCUGCCAGCUGAAGACAUGGAGCAAAAUCCUGUAGCUUCAGUUCCCUGGAAUAGCUUUACCCCUAUCUGCUUAAGAUCCUGUGCAUAUCAGGAGAAAAUGAUGAGGUGAUGAAAAGGGAAGAAGCUGAAGGGUUGAGGCUUACAGUUAGGUAAAAUGAUGACCUUGUCACCUAUCAGUGUCCAGAGCUCACUCCCUUGAAUAUUUGUCUCACUAAUAUUAUGCUCUCUUAUUUCCAGGCAUC